GAUGAAGAACGUAGCGAAAUGCGAUACGUAAUGUGAAUUGCAGAAUUCAGUGAAUCAUCGAGUCUUUGAACGCACAUUGCGCCCCCUGGUAUUCCGGGGGGCAUGCCUGUCCGAGCGUCAUUGCUGCCCUCAAGCCCGGCUUGUGUGUUGGGUCUCGUCCCCCUUCCCGGGGGGACGGGCCCGAAAGGCAGCGGCGGCACCGCGUCCGGUCCUCGAGCGUAUGGGGCUUUGUCACCCGCUCUGUAGGCCCGGCCGGCGCUUGCCGAUCAACCAAAACUUUUUUCCAGGUUGACCUCGGAUCAGGUAGGGAUACCCGCUGAACUUAAGCAUAUCAUAAGCGGAGUA
rnacentral:misc_RNA from 1 species